CCUACGGGUGGCAGCAGUGAGGAAUAUUGGUCAAUGGACGAGAGUCUGAACCAGCCAAGUAGCGUGAAGGAUGACUGCCCUAUGGGUUGUAAACUUCUUUUAUAUGGGAAUAAAAUGUUCCACGUGUGGGAGUUUGUAUGUACCAUAUGAAUAAGGAUCGGCUAACUCCGUGCCAGAAGCAGCGGUAAUACGGAGGAUCCGAGCGUUAUCCGGAUUUAUUGGGUUUAAAGGGAGCGUAGAUGGAUUGUUAAGUCAGUUGUGAAAGUUUGCGGCUCAACCGUAAAAUUGCAGUUGAAACUGGCAGUCGUGAGUACAGUAGAGGUGUGAGGAAUUCGUGGUGUAGCGGGUAAAUGCUUAGAUAUCACGAAGAACUCCGAUUGCGAAGGCAGUUCACUGGACUGCAACUGACACUGAGGCUCGAAAGUGUGGGUAUCAAACAGGAUUAGAUACCCUAGUAGUC
rnacentral:rRNA from 1 species